rnacentral:lncRNA from 1 species
UAUAUAUAGAGAGAGAGAGAGAGAGAGUUGAGCUAGAAUACUAUCGGUAUACACACACACAGCACACACACCACACACACACACACACACACACACACACACACACAACACACACACACACCACACACACACACAUCAGUCCUAUUGCACAUCUAUUUUUUUAAUGGAUCUAGAAACUCGAUAAGAGUUGUCUAAAAAUGUUGAAUUGGAUUGUGCGUAAGGAUUCUACACUAAGUUUUUGGUGUAUAAGUGCCCCCCCCCAUUUUUUUCUGUUUUUUCUACUAAGGAUUAACAGAUCUAUGGAGAACCUCAACUUAUAGAACAUUUAAAAUGAAACUUUUAACACUUUUGGCUUUUUUUGGAGCACUGAAAGUCUUAUUCAAUAGUAUUUCUGAAAUUUACUUAGGAAACUACUUAUAGUAUCUGGUAGAUGUUGAGUUUGAUCACAUGUGUUCAAGAAUUAUACAUACUUGGCUUUCAAGUGUAGGUUUUUUAGAAUAAAAACCAAAUUACCUAUUAAAUGAUUAUGUUUAGAUCCGUAACGGUAAAUGGAUGGAUGUCACGAUGUUUUUCUAGCGUAACGAAAAUCAAACCUCUUCUACCUCGAAGCGCAACAACAAGAUUCUUCAUGCAUUGGUGUUAAGUAUUGUAAAUAUCUAUAUCCGACCUUAAACCAUUUUAGGGGGGUCAAAGUAAGAUAUCUCCAUGACUAAGUUUACUUUACAUGUAAAGAUGCUUAUUACCAUAUGAAGAUUUUCCCAACUUUCCAGUGGGUCACCCAUCCGCUAGGACUACUUUCCGUCCUCAGCACGCUUAACUCUCUUAACCUCCGGCCGUCUUAGCUGCCACGCAAAAAUGCUUUAACCGGAUUGUAAGAGUUUAGCUCCUUUACUAUCCUCUAUAUAUAGGACUAUCCGGAGUCUCCACACAUGUUGGAGGCAAGGAAGUUGAUUUCUCUCCUUAAAGAAUCUCGCUACCUGUAUCUAUUAAGUUUACCCAGCAAGUAUUUGUUUAACUUUACGAGAUAAUUUAUUAUUAUUUCAAAAAAAAUGACGAGAAGGCCAUUUAUGGUGGCGAUCAUUCCCAAGUCAUUUAGUUCCCCAUUUCCAUCUAUCAGAAUAGUGUCAAGAUUUUUGUGUAAAUCAAAUGAAAUUAUGUCAAAAAGAAACAAAAGGUUUAUGCAUUCAAAGAAGACCUUAAUUAGUUAUUUGUUCUCAUCGUCAUGUCUUGAUUUUUAUUUUUUGUUGCCGAUAUUUAAGGCUAAUUCUAGUUAAGUUGGUCUUAAACUUUUUGUUAAAUUAAUGACUUUCUAAAGCUACUUGAAAGUUAAGUUGCUAUAAUUUUUUACUUAUUUUGAAAACAAAAAGUUGAAGAGUAUUAAAUUCCAUGGAAAUCAUCGAUGAAAUUUGAUAAAAUCCUUAAGCUUCUUUGUGUCUCAAUUAACAACAAGAAGAUAAUAGAUAACUAGUUUCCAUACAUUAAGAAUGUUUUUUGUUUUGAGAAAAACCGCUCCUGAGGGUGGAUUUCGGUGAUUUACAUUAAUUGUCCAGUGAUAUCUUGUUCUUGUAUUACCAGUAACAACCUGCAAAAAGUCAAAAGGUGUGAAAUGUGGAAUGAGAGGUAGAAAUGUAUGAGAACUGUGCCUCAACUAUCACUUGAAUAUCGAAUCUUUAAAAAUCUUGAUUUUUACAGUCUAAUCUUUUAUAUUAUUUAGACUUGGAGGCAAUUAAUAACUUCCUUUAACUUCAAAAUUUGAAGCAGUCAUUUAUCAUGUGUAUAGUGAAAUUGAGUUGAGUAUUUAAUGAUUCAUGUUAAUGUACUAUAUUUAUUAAAAAAAGGAAAAAAGAUUAACUUCAGUGGUGAACAGUCAUAAAACAAUUAAAUAAAUCUAAAAUAUUGACUCAGUAGACAUCAAACAUUUUAAAGAUUUGAAAUGUCNNNNNNNNNNNNNNNNNNNNNNNNNUAUGAGUAGAGCUACUAUACUAUCGAAAGUAUAAAGGAUAUGGUGCUUCCGACUUUUUGAACCUUAGAUCAACCUUUUUGAUCAUUUCUAACCUUUGGAUUAAUACUAUUACUCUGUGGGGAUCACUCAACCCUAGGGGUACUAACUACUCAACUCUAGGGGGGACUGCAAUCAUCCCAAUCGUACAUUUCUUGAUCCAAAGGUCAAAAAAUCGGAAGCAUCAAAUUCUCUAUACUUCUAAUAGUAUAGUAACUCUGCACUAUAUAUAGUAUAGAGCUACUAUGUUAUCAGAAGCAUAAAGGAUCUGGUGCUUCCGAUUUUUUGACCAUUGGUUAAAAAAUUGUUCGAUUGAGAUGUUUACGGUCCCCCAAAGGUUGAGUAAUACCGCUAGGGUUGAGUGGCCCCCAGAGGGUAAUUGUAUUAAUCCAAAUGUUAGAAAUGAUCAAAGGGGUUGAUCUAAGGGUCAAAAAAUCGGAAGCACCAGAUCGUCUAUGCUUCCGAUAGCAUAGUAGCUCUAGUCAUAUAUAUAUAUAGAGAGAGAGAGAGUAGGGCUACUAUACUCUUAUGAGUAUUGGGCCCUUCGUACGCGUAAGUUAUUUUCGAUGAUGGUGCUUCCGAAUCAACGAUCCACUCCGUUAAAUAUGAUCUAGAGUAUUUGAAACUUUUAAAAAAUAAAUGUCGUAAUUUUUCGAAAUCAUAAUAAAAUCCAUCAAGCGGGCAUAAAAUGAACUGUCAAAAUCAAACGAUGUCCUCAAAAUGCGUGAUCGGAUCCUUCAAUUUAAGAUCAGAGUUAUUUAUCUUUAUUCCGAUUUUGUUACACCGUUAAACUAGCAAGUAUUCCAUACCGACCGUUAAAAAUUAUCAAUUUUUUGACCUUUUGAUCGUAAGGUAAAUGAUGUCAAAAAAUUAUGAAAUUUGAUUUCUACAAGUUUUAAAUGCUCGAGAUAAUGUUUAACGGUAUGGAUCGUCGAUUCGGAAGCUCUAUCAUCGAAAAUGACUUAUGAGUACGAAUGCGAUCGUACNCUUAAUUUUAUAUAUUAUUAAUAUAUAUUUAUUUAUUAUAAUUUUGAAUAUAUUUAAUUUAUAUAAAAAAGCAUAAAAAUAAUAUAUAUAGUAUAUUAAUUAUUAUAUAUUUAUUAUAUAGCCGAAUUUUUGAUUCCGAAUUUUUAAUUGGUAAACGUAUAAUAUCCGUAUAAAUUAUGUAUCCGAAUAAUUACCGUAUCCGUUUUUUAGCCGUAUUUUUCAAAAAAUUUAAAAAUUAAAAAACGAAUUUUAUCCGAAUUAUAUCCGUACCGAAUUUUUGCCGAAUCCGAAUUAACUAACUAUGCUCUAUACUAGUAUUGUGAAUUGAGAUUAUCUUGUUAUUUUAUUUUUCUUUAGCUGAAGGUUUUCCUGGCAGAACAGAUCAGCAAUGUCAGCACAGAUGGGCAAAGGUUCUUAAUCCUCAUCUCGUUAAAGGUUCCUGGACUCAUGAGGUUCGUAGCUUAAGUUCACCACUAGAAUAAAUAAUUUUAAAGAGAUCUUGGCUUUUAGUGCGUUAUUAAUUGAAUAUAUUAGCAAAACUUGUGCUCCUCUAUUUUUCUAUAUUACAAGAAGAUAAUAAGUUAAUUCAUCUUGUAAAGAAGUUUUUCUAUAUUACAGGAAGAUAAUAAGUUAAUUCAUCUUGUAAAGAAGCAUGGACAAUCAAAAUGGUCUAUAAUUGCAAAUUUUCUCCCUGGUCGCAUUGGAAAACAAUGCCGAGAGAGGUAACCUUUUGAAUUUUCUACUACAUAAAAUGUUCUUGUUAGUUACUUUUAAGAACAGAUAUUUAUUUAUUCACCUCUGCUAAGUUAUCUAUUAACAUAUAUGUCCUGCAAAGUUGAAAUUUUCAAUUACAUCUCUUUGCGAAUUUAAUUUCAUACAUAUGUACUUUUCAACUUGCAAAAUUGCCACUCUUUAAAUACCUUAUUUAGGAGAAAACCAACUUCUCCCCAUGAAUGACCCUCCAACAAACCAACUUUUCCCAUGAAUGACUCUCCAACUCAAUAUAAGGGUAUUUAUGUAAGAAUUGCAGUUUUGACGGGGCAAAUGAAAAUUCAGAUCUUGAAACAGUUUGUAUGUAACCUAUUAGUUUUCAUGUUAAAGGUUAAGAAUAUUCAUUUCCAUUUUGUUUCCUAGUUUUCACUUUUCAGUCUUAAAGUUAUAUUGACCUUUUCUUUCAAUGGUAUAGAUUAUUUUGCACCUAAGUAGUUUCUAGGAAUCAAAAUAGUGGAUAAUUCAAAGAGAGAGAAAUUUUAUUGUUAUGCUGACUCUCUGUUUUAUUUAAAUAGUAUAUACAAAUCUAGGGAUUACAUGUUUGGAAAGUAACUGUCUGAUUCCUUUCCAUCAUAAUUUGUUGCAUCCUUCGUAAUAAGUUGUUGGUCUUUGUCAUUCUUAGAGAUGUUUGGCCCACGGCUGAAACUUUUAUAAAAGUGCUGUUAAACCAAGAUUUUUGAAAAAACGUUGACAACUUUUUCAUUGAUAUACUCCGCAAGCUUCCUUAUUAUUGAAGCUAGAAGCUUCUAAUUGGAGCAUGUGCUUUGGGGGCUCAUAGGCUCAUUUAUAUUACCCACUACGGCAAAAGCGCUGGUCUUUUUAUUUUCCAAACACUUACCUGCUGCUUUUCAAAGUAGAGAAGCGGUUCCAGUAACCAGGUCAAAUGAGUACUUGCAGUGUUGAAAUUAGCUCAUUGAUAUUUAUCGUUUUUAUUUUUCAGGUGGCAUAAUCAUCUGAACCCUGAAAUUAAGAAAGAUGCUUGGACUGAAGAGGAAGAAAUUAAGCUCAUAAAUGCUCAUCGUGUGCACGGAAAUAAAUGGGCAGAAAUAGCGAAGUUGCUCCCUGGAAGGUACUUAUGUUCAUUAAGAAUAUCCUUUUUGGGUUAGUUUCCCAUCAUUCAUGAUACUGGACUCCCAUAUUUCAACACUAAGCAUCUUUUUACAACAAUUACUUUCUUUUUCAUCUAUGUUGGCCUAUAUUGCAAUAUUAAUGCUAAUUCAUUUUGUUUUCUUAAUCAUGAAUAGGACUGAUAACUCAAUAAAAAAUCACUGGAAUUGUUCUAUGAAGAAAAGGUUUGAUUUUUACAUGGCAAACGGCAAACUUCCACCCUCUCCAAAGUUUGAAUGCCAUGAGUCUUCGCAAACCGAAGCAAAAUUAACUAGUCAAGAAAGGAAUUUCUUCUUGGGUAAAGGUUCAGAUAAAAGUACUAAUUUUAGCUUGCUGGUAGACUCAUGCAAAUUGGAAAACCGCAUGGACUUAGAAAACCCAGCAGGUGUACCAGUAGGAAAGGGUGAUUCUGCUGUUGAUUACAGAACACAGACGGUCGAAGUUGAUCCUAUCUGUAACAAAGCUGUUUCAGAAGAAGUUUUUGGGAAGGGUCUUAAAAUGAUUGGAAUCAAUCAAGACAAGAGAAGCCCUAGCACAAUAUUAGAUUGUGAAAGUUCCCCCAUGUUUGAUUUAAUUUGCUAUGAGCCACUUCAAUUAGAAGAUUUUGGUGCUUCCGUAAUGUUUUCUCAGUCAUGCAAAUUAGAAAGCCACAAGCGCCAAAUUGGAAAACAAGAAGGAUUGUCCUUGACGGUACGGAAUUGUCACCUAGGAUCUUCAAUUGGUUUAUCACUAAGAAGUGAUGAUUCUGAUGUUAGAGACAAAAAACAGAGCGAGGAAAUUGGCCCUACAUUUAAAAAAGCUGAUUUGGGGGAAAAUUUGGGGAGAAUUUACAAAAUGGGUGAGACUGAUCGACCCAAGAAAAGAACUCGAUCAAUCUUAAACAAUGAAGGCACUCCUAUCUUUGGCUCUAUUUGCUAUGAACCUCCACAUUCAGAAGAUCUCGGUGCUUCUAUAUUAAGAACUCCCCCUUCUGGUGGUGGGAAAGUUUCAAAGGUGCAGAGUUAUCAGAGUGUUCUCAAAAGUGCAGCAGAAUGCUUUUUAAAAUUGGGUGCACCCUCUAUUUUAAGAAGCAGCAAGAGGGAAACACAAACUCCUCUUUCUCCUCUUGAUGCGUCUUCUACUUCAAUGAAAAGCAACGAUGGGAAUAUUGACAAGAUAUACAAAUCAACAAUAUCCACAUUAGCCACAAGUUGUUGUCGUGAUAGUGGAGCCAUAUCUGAUGAUGGAAAUAGUUAUGGUCCGUCUCCUCCCUAUCAACUAAGGUCAAAAAGAGCUGCAGUCCGCAAAUCUUUAGAGAAGAAGCUUGAUUUUUCAUUGAAGGAUGAUGAUUUCAAUACCAAUUCCAAAAUUUGACACCAACUUUACUGACGCACAAUUUGGUUGCAAGUUUAACAACCAAGUUUGACCCAAUUCAGAAUCUCAAGGUAUAUUCUGGAAACCUUUUUUAAGUUAUUGAUUGAUUGCAUGUUGUUGGUGGACAUUUUUAUCCUUUGUCAACAUCUAAGUUCCUUUGAUAAUCUACCCUGCUGGAAAAUCCUUAUUUGUGUCGAUAUUCACUGAAAUUCCAAUCAAAGUUAAAUAUUUGUUUUUAAAUUUAAUCACAGUUUAGAUAUUUUCAAUUCUUUUAUCUUUAACUCAUUUUCUUUUUGUUUUGACUCGUCCUUCUAUAAUGGUCUUUCUAUAUAUUUUCCUUCUGUCCGAUUGGUUUUCCCUUAGUUGGUAUGCGCACGAUUUCUAUCUUAAGAGUAUAUAUAUAUAUAUAUAUAUAUAUAUAUAUAUAUAUAUAUAUAUAUAGAUACGUGUAACAUUGUUUAUGCACCUACAAAAAUAUUUUUAGAUUCAGAUCUACACAGUGCUAUCACAAAAUUUUGCAGAUUAGGAAACAGAAAUAACGCUUAGACACUUCAUACAAAUAAUAAUCCUAAAGUAGCUAUGUCACAUUUGUACUGAACAGGCUUAUUGUGGAACCAUUUUUUAGCAUGUGAAUAUAUUAUGUUGAUUGUCGAAUCAAUGCUAUAUAUUCUUUCAUUUAUUUAUUUAGUCAUUUAUAUACUUCUAUGUAUUUCUUAAUGCAGCUAUAAUCUCCCAAGCUUGAUUAGAGAAGUAGUAGUGAAGACACAAGUUCUCUUCAUCGGCUGCUCUGGGAUCUAGUUUUUCUUUUUUUCCUUUUUUUUUUCCUUUAGAACAGAUAGAUUUCUUGUAGAAUGUGUCCACAAUCCCUCUACUAUGAUAUUGCAACUUGGCCCCUAUGCUCUCAAAUCAGUAGUAAAAUGUUUUAGUGAAAAGGAUAAGGACCAUGUCGCAAUAUGAGGAUAUAGGGGACUAUCGAUUCAUUUUACUCAUAGAUAGAUGUCCUCUUUCUGGGGGAGGACAUUCAUUUUCACUUUGUACAUAAUACAUUCUGCAGCAAGUGUACAUAAAACUAGAAUAAGAGCAUUCUAGUGCUUGUUUGCCUUGAAUUUUAGAUCAGCUUUUCUGUUUUGAGAAGCAGAAGCAACCAAGUCGUUGCCAAACACUCAAAACUCAUUUUCACUUUGUACGUAAUACAUUCUGCAGCAAGUGUACAUAAAACUAGAAGUUGAAUAAGAGCAUUUUAGUGCUUAUUUGCCUUGAAUUUUAGAUAAGCUUUUCUGUUUUGAGAAGCAGUAGCAACUAAGUCGUUGCCAAACACUCAGAACUCAUUUUCACGUUGUACGUAACACAUUCUGCAGCAAGUGUGCAUAAAACUAGAAGUUGAAUAAGAGCAUUCUAGUGCUUGUUUGCCCUGGAUUUUAAAUAAGCAUUUCUGUCUUGAGAAGCAAUAGCAACCAAAUAUUUGCAAAACACUCAAAAUCUCCCAUACAUUUAAUUGUUAUGUGAAGCGAAAAUUAAGCUACUCCUCGGCCUCAACUAGAAGCUUUGAUUGGGGAAUAUAUUUAACUCAAAUACAUUUUUAGAGAUAAAAAAGCAAUAAACAUUUAACUCAAACAGCGCUUUGGGUAAGCUAUGCUUUUGCACUGGUUGCGUAAAGUUUAUUUGACUGGCGAGCAAUGAAACGUGUACGCAUGUCCUAGUGUUUGUCUCUAUAAUUUUAAAAUGCAUGUGUUUUUUUAACAAAAGCAUGGUUAGGGGAAACAUUGGCGUGCUUAUCCGAGACUAGAGAGAGCUCCCCUUCACGGAUGGCCCUUGUGCUACUCGGUGCUGUACAAAUCAAUUCGCACGGAACGUAACGCUAUUGGUUGUGGAUAUGUGCUUUGCUAAAUUAGGUCAAAAAUUAAUUGUUAUUUCUUUAUUAUGCUCUCCCGGGUCCCCCACCUCAAACGCCAUUUUUUUUUAACGUGCGGGACGGUUUUGGCCCGAAUUAGUUUCUAUUCUAUUUUUGGCUCUCCACUUACUCCAUCUCGUUAGGCGGAAAAAGAGUAAAAAUUUUUGAUAGAAUUUUAACAAAUCAAAGUUAAUCACGUCAGAUUUAGAAUAUAGUAUAUAUUUUAUAAAUUGAGUUUUUUCGUUUUUAAAAGUACUGAAUUAUUGGUGCUUGUGGGUUUUCGAUUUUUUGAAUUAAAAGAUGUACGGUUAUGAUAAUAAUGGUCUUUUAGAGUUGAGUAAGCCGUUCGUUAAAUAGUAUAAUUUAACAGAUAAAAUGAUAAAAAAGAUAGAUGCUUUUAAAAGCACUAUAGUCGGACUCAUAUUUUAUUAAUAUUUUAUUCUCAUUUACCGCUUAAUUUGGGUCUAAUUGGAAUGCUUGAUCCGUAACAAGUCCUAAAGAGAGAGUUAGAGAGAGGAAGAAAUUUGUUCCAACUUGUUGGACCAUUCAACAAUACAGGUAAACCCAAAAGGUAAAAGAUAUUUUUGGAAUCUACCACCAACUCGUAAUACAUAGAGAAGGCUCCUUCAGAAGUUGACUCAACACCAAUUUACACAUCCCUCUAUUAAGAGAGACAAGUUAGAGAGAGAGAGAGAGAGAGAGAGAGAGAGAUGGGAAGGGGGAUUCUGGAGGUGCACCUGGUGGAUGCAAAGGGUCUUGCGGAUACAGAUUUCUUAGGUUUGUAUUUAACUUUUUUUUGUAUUUUUUCGCAGUAAAAUUUGAUAGAUCUAUUAUUAAUUUCUGGAGCUAUUUGAUUUGAUUGAUUGAUGAGAAUUUGUGAUCACAAUGAUUAUUCAUGGGUUACAAUUAGUUGCAGGAAAAAUAGAUCCAUAUGUGUUGAUUCAAUACAGGAGUCAGGAGUGCAAGAGCAGCGUCGCACGAGGUCAAUUUUAAUCUUUGAGUUGUUCAUUUCUUUCUCUCUUUUUUUUUCCCCCCUUUGAACUUUUUCUUUCUCCUUGAACUGAUCGGUUCUUUUUUUAAUGCGAAAUCAUUAGAAAAUUAUUGUUCUCUAUAUAGAAGUUCGGAUGGAUCUAAUCGAUUAUUUGGUUGUAGUUAAUUCAAGUUUAGUGGGUAAAAUCAUUAUUAGUUCUCCCUACCCUUGUGCUGCGUACUAAGAUCUUUUCACCGAGGAAAACCUAUUAUGGCUGAUUUGUAAAUUGCAAUAUUUCUAAUGUUUUGUAUUUACUUGUUUUAUCAUAUUUCAUUAGGAAAAUUAAUAUUAAUAUAUAUAUCAUAUAUACUUUUCAGUAUAUUCUGUGUCAUAUCACAUAUGUCAACUACCAAAAAGAAAUUGCGAUAUAUGCUGUAAAAUAUUGAUGGUGUCGUGAUCCACACUUUAAAAUAUUUGUUAUAUAAGGCCAAGUUGAGUUUUAUAAUCACAAAAGGAAUGAAACGAAAAAGAAAAAGGAAAUCAAACAUGCAGGUCAGAUUCUAAUUAUCACAAGCACAAGCAUUUAGGAGGCUGACCUUUUCAUUGCAUUAUGAACUCGUCAGCGAUAUUAACACAUCAAUUUUUUAUCAGAGAUAUAUAUAAGAUUCAUCGAUUUCAUCAAAUUCAGUCAUUGAAUAAUAAUCAGUUUUAAUGAAUUUAUCUGUCAAUAUCACAAUCAACUAUGUUAAUACGUACAUACAAUGUUUUCAAAACUAGAGAAAAAACUUGAAAUUGUGGUAGUAUGGUUUCUGCUCGAGUGGAUUUUCGACUUAUAUCUAAAUAUAUAGAAGUUUCCUUUGAUUAAGUGUAGGCCAAGGGAGGAACCCUUCAUGGAAUGAAACAUUCAAGUUCCAGGUGAAUUCUCAAGGCUCCAACAUUCAACACAAGCUCACCCUCAGGGUAAUGGAUCAUGACACCUUCUCCCGCGACGACUUCAUCGGCGAAGCUACGUAAGUGAAACCCCCUAGUUUUGCUGUUGCGAGACACAAAUGUUAAUUUUUCGACGGGUUAAGUUGCACUAACAGUUCAUCAAUUCUUUGCUUAGCCACAGUUUAGCUUUUGGCCUCUAAAUAUAUAGACUAUAAUUGACCACUUACAUAAGUUUAACAAGUUGAAUCCCUUAAAUUUAAAGGUUGAGGAUCAAAGUAAAAUUAACAUAGAGUUUACGAAUCAGCGAUCGAUUCAAUCUAUGUACCUUUACUACUUAUUCGAAUAUUGCUUCGGUUUGUUGAUUUUAAGUGUUUGUGAUUAGGAUCAACGUGACUGAUUUGAUCGCGAUAGGGAUGGAGAAGGGAUCUAUAGAACAACAUCCUACCAAGUACAACGUAGUACUCGCGGACCGAAGUUAUUGUGGGGAAAUUCGAGUUGGCAUCAAUUUUAAAGCAAAGGUAUGCCUAUAAGUUGGUUCAAAUCGUUGCGGUAACUAUUUUAUUCCUUGUUACGAUCUUCGUAUUAUUCUCAGAUGCAAGAGGAGGGAGAAGAAGAGCUCGGCGGGUGGAAACAUAGCUUUCGUGCGUGAAAAUGGUUAGAAUUCGGCCGAAACUCUCGAGCAUUUAUCCAUGGUUGUUCAAAGAUGUAAAAGAGUUAUGUGAGGAAUGUAUCAAGGAUGUACACAUUUAACAUCCCUUUUUAUUUUUUUCCACCUUUCUUUUAAACUCCCUUGAAUGAAGAUUUGAUAAGGUUAUUGCUUGUUGUAGCUAGAUAUAGUUUGUUAAAGUGAAAAGGAAAAAAAAAAAAUUGUAAGAAUUUGAGUAUGGAGAUGAUUAGAUGAAUCAAGCCGUAGCAUUAUUGAGUUUGUGAAAUGAGAGACACUGCAUUACUCUUUAUUUAGAAUAUGGGCUUAAAGUUGUCCAAUUUGUUCAUUAACAAUGAUAAAAAAAAAUGAAGCAAUUUUUCUAUAUAUAUAUAUAUAUAUANGGAUGGGGAGAUGUGAGAUUGAGAUGAUGGUGGUAGGUAGUGGUAGGCGGUGAUAGGUGGAAUAGUAUUUGCUCCAAAGACUAUUAGUAAUCAAGGAGUAGAUCCAAGGGAUAGAAACUUAGAAACACCAAGGGGUUGGUGCUUCUAAAAAUAUUCUAGCUAAAUUCUCUCUCUCUCUCUCUCUCUCUCUAUAUAUAUAUAUAAGUGAAUAUUUUUUUUAUUUUAUCUAUUCUUAGAACUCGAAUCUUAAUUUUGUUUUGGUGUUGUCUAAGACUCUACAUUAUCUACUAUAUAUUAUGAUAUUUUCAACAGUAAAUUAUAUUAUAGUUUUUUAAAAAUUAUAUGUAUGUAUUUGUGUUUGAAAAGUAUAAGAACUAAAAAAAAAAAAACUUCUUGAGAGUAACCCAUACUAGUGAAGGCCCCCGCUUCGCCGCGGGAAAUUUACGCAAUUUCUAAAAUUUUUUAAAUAGAUUAUUCAACAUUGUUUGCUAAAGUUGGUUAUAAAAAUUAAGUAAAACCAAAAUGAAUAAUUAAAUAUUUAAAAUUUAAAAUUUUUUAUUAUCCAAAAUUUUUAAAUGUAAAUUUAGAAUAUAAAAUGUUCAAGCUUAAAAUUUAAAUUUUAACAUAUGAAAUUGAAAUCUCAAUAUUUGGAAUUAAAUAUUUGAAUUUUUUAAAUUCAAUCUAUAAUUUAAUAUAUAUUUAAAAUAUUGAAACUUGAAAUUUGAAAUUUAAAAUUUAAAAAUCUUAUAUUUUAUCUUAAUUACUAAAACUAAAUUUUAAAAGUUUACAAUUUUACUUUUCCAUACUUUGCUUCUAUAUAUAUAAUGAAGUGUUUUAUUCCCAUUUCAUAGGCUGACUACGUUAAACCGUUGGUUUCUCCAUUGAUUUCUCUCGUUGUUCGGGUGAGACUCUCUCUUCGAAACGCAUCUUCUGUAGGUACUCUGGUGCUGUGAUCUGUCAGUCUUUUUGAACAUAUGGUUGUGGAUGCUUCUCACUAACUUGAGCUUAUAGACCACCAACAUUUUUAUCUGUUUGCUUUCAUCUCGAUUUCUUUCUGAGCUGCUCAUCGGACAGUAAUGUUUCAUCGAUCUCUGAUUUUUUUCGCUUCUACCGGCGGAGCUUUAGAUUAACAGUCUUUGCACGAUCGAUCGCAAUCGAAGUGGACUGAAAUAAGCUCCCGAAUUGGGUAGAUAACUUUGCAUCAUAUUGGGGGAUUUCUCACUAGGUUUUCUUAGGAUUUUUUGUACUCGCUGUGCUGCCGACGCUCAGUUGCAUAGUUGGAUACGGCACAAUCUACCUCCUGAAAGAGAAGGUCCGCACAAGACAUCGAGUUACCACAAAUAUUAUUCGGUUGUUGCGCUCACAAAUUGAUGCAACGAGAGUUGUAAGUAUGACUCUUAACUAAGUUUUUACAGACUGAAUUGUGUUCGGGAAAAUGACUUUUUAUUGUCUAGGUAGCCUGUAAUUUGCAAAAUUCUGAAAAUGUUCCUGUUUCUUAGGACUCAGUUGGCUGUUUAACAGCAUGCCUCUCUUAAGUUCUAAGCUUGCUCUAAGCCUAUAUUUAUUAUGAAAAUCAAUCUACAUAAGUAACUUGGUCUAUUUGAGAUUAACAACUCCACUCUGCAUCUAUUUGAAAGCUUUUUUUGUGAAACUGCAAGAUUCUAACGUUUCGGGUUUGUCAUAAUUUCAUCUUUGAAUAUUGUUGGCAAAGAUUAUUCUGACUAUAUUGUUUUCAUAUUUCUGUUUUUUUGUUUUAGUUUUUUCUGUAGUCGUUGGUUGAUACAUCGCUACAUAAAAAUCAUAUGUCCUCUCUAUGAAGCAGUUUUCUAUUGGGCUGAUAUAUGUUAUUUCGUUUGAGAAAUGCGAAUGAUCAUUGCCACUGUGUUAUUGGCGCAGAGUAGGUAUGAUAAUGUGGAUAUUCUGCACUGGAUUCAUUAGUUCCUAUUUGACGCAACCGCAUUCUUGCGUACUGUGAAAGGAUGAACUUUUGGUGUGCUGCAUCAAUGUGGAAGUGGGAUCUAGCAUAAAACACGCUAGUGCUGGGACGAAAAGAAAUAGGUAAAUUGAAGGUGCUAAGUUUAUUUUUUAUUGCAUACCGUCGUGGGGAUAAUCCCGCCUGAACCCGUCGGGCUGAGCCGCCGGGCGAUUGUUUUGUUGAAGUCAAUAAUUGACUGCAAGUAAUUAGUUUGGCUCUGUUAAGUUAUUGUGAUCCUUUCAGAAAUAGUUAAGAUACGAUUAUUUUGAUUCUAUUACAACUGAAAAUAUGAAUUGAGUUGAUGGUAAGAUUAUAUUAUAGCAUACCCACGCCACGCAUCAAAAAAAUAAAAAAUAAUGAAGGAAAAAACAUACUUAUGGCGUUUGUCUCUAAUGUUCUAUUGUAAACAAUCUAAUGCCAAACUCAGAAAAGAAAGAUAAGAAAAUCGUCAUACAGAAAAAGUUGUAUAUAACAGAGGGGAUUAAGUUCUAAUAUAAGUUCUCAUGUUGUGAUAAUAAACAGAGGGACGUUAAGUUAGCAAUUACUAAUUUGCAUUAACUUUUCCAUUUGCAUGAUAUUAAUCGGACAGACAACUUUCAGCAGCAGCCGUGACCAACUUUUGUUGGGGCGGAUCCUAUUGUACAAAGAUGAGACGAAAUUUGGUUUUGUGUUCACUAAAAAAAAAGUAUUGCAGAAGGAGGAUGGUCAGAAUAUCAAAUCUUUAUUUGGUCAUAUGGACUGUUAAAGGCGUCUACAGAAUGCAGUAGUUUUUGCGCAGGAAUCACGGAAGCAUGGAAUCAUUAGUUUUUACUUCCUUAUAACUGUCAAAACAAGUUUAUUUGCUUUUGCUAUGUGUCUAAACGAAACAAAAUGUCGUUAUCAUAAAAUUUUUUGGAGUCCUAUUUGUUGUUAAACCAGUCUAAUAUAAUUUGCUAAUUUGACUUUCGGAGUACUUUUAUCUGGUCCUCUGUUUUUGUGCACAUUGUUCUUUUGUCUUUUCAUAUGAUGUCGCCUAGAUCAACAUUGUUGUAUUGAGAUUCGGAUUAUGAAUUGUUAACAUUCCAUAGUUAAUGAUUUAUGAAUAUUAUUCUAGAAAUUUUCUGAUUGUGUUUGGUUGGGGAGGAGAUCCUAAAUGUGAAUAGUCGCCUUUUCGCGCAUUAUACCCCACAAACACCAUUCGUCCUCACAAGUGUCAGAAUAUACGUACGGUAAUAUGGGCUUAUCAUGACCAUUUAUCUAACUCCUUACCCUUACAACUCAGUUAUUCUGCCAAGUUUGGUCGAAACUGCGAAAAAAAAUAAACUGCUAGGGAAGUUUGAACAAGGUUAAUUGUAUUUUUCCCUAUAUCUUCAUAGAGAAUUUGAAUUCCGUAGCUGAAUUUCCUGCUAUUGCUUAGCUGAACUUUGAAUAAUCUACCUGGGCUUUCGAUGCAUGUAAAGUUUAAAAUGUUUAGAAUUCGGAUCUGAACUAACGAUCAGAAUUUUUGAUGGCGUUAUAAAAGGGUAGAAUUCAGAAUUCGAGAUUACAUCAACGAAUAUUUCCCGGAUUGCCAGUAAUAUAAUAAAGGUUAGGAAUAUACUAAAACAUUUAGAAUUCAGAAAAUUUAAAAUACAUAAAUGUGGAAUAUUUCACCAAUUUAAACUGAAAUUAAAAUGUUNNNNNNNNNNNNNNNNNNNNNNNNNAUAUAAUAUAUAUAAUAUAGAAAAUUGCUUCAUUUUUUUUAUCAUUGUUAAUGAACAAAGUUGGACAACUUUAAGCCCAUAUUCUAAAUAAAGAGUAAUGCAGUGUCUCUCAUUUCACAAACUCAAUAAUGCUACGGCUUGAUUCAUCUAAUCAUCUCAUACUCAAAUUCUUACAAUUUUUUUUUUCCUUUCACUUUAACAAACUAUAUCUAGCUAAACAAGCCCAAUAACCUUAUCAAAUCUUCAUUCAAGGGAGUUUAAAAGAAAAGGUGGAAAAAAAUAAAAAGGGAUGUUUAAAUGUGUACUCCUUGAUAAUUCCUCACAUAACUCUUUUUACAUCCUUAACAACCAUGGAUAAAUGCUCGAGAGUUUCGGUCCGAAUUCUAUACCAUUUUCACGCACGAAAGCUAUGUUCCACCCGCCGAGCUCUUCUUACCUCCUUCCUCUUGAUCUGAGAAUAAUACAAGAUCGUACAAGAUAAAAUAGUUAGCCGAACGAUUGACAACAUCUCUCUAGAGAGAGAGAGAGAGAGAGAGAGAGAGAGAGAGAGAGAGUGUGUAGGGCUAUUAUACUCUUAUGAGUAUAGAGCCCUUCGUACUCAUAAGUUGUUUUCGAUAUUGGAGUUUUCAAAUCGACGAUCCACACUGUUAAACAUGAUCUAAAGUAUUUGAAACUUCUAAAAAAUAAAUUUCGUAAUUUUUUAAAAUCAUUAUAAAGUCCAUCAAGCGGGUAUAAAAUGAACGGUUAAAAUUGAACGACAUCCAAAAAAUGGAUAAUCGGAUCAUUCAAUUUAAAAUCGGAAUUAUUGAUCUUUAUUUAGAUAGUGAAUAGAAUUUUCUAUCAAAAAUUCAACCUAUUCCGAUUCUUUUUCACCAUUAAACUAGCAAAUAUCUAAUACCGGUUAUUAAAAAUUGUCAAUUUUGUGAGCUUUUGAUCGUAAGGUAAGUGAUAUCGAAAAAUACUGUAGAUAAUAUUUAACGGUAUGAAUCGUCGAUUCGGACACUUUAUCAUCGAAAAUAAUUUAUAAGUACAAAGGCGAUCGUACUCAUAAGAGUACUAUACUAGCCGGACUCUAUAUAUAUAUUUAUAGAAUUAUAUAUAAUCUACUUCAUUAUAAAUGCUAGCUUGUGGGCUACACCAAAGUUAUAUUUUGGUAUUUGAACAAUAAAAAGAAAGGGGUACAGAACAAUCCAAAAUACAUACUUGGCUGUCCGUUUGUGAGUUGAUCCUAAAAUAGCGCAAUUAAAGCUAUGGAUGAUUCAAAAUUUACACUUUGUUUCACUUCACCAUUCAUAAGAAAUAUUGUUAAUAAAAUUUAACAGAUCAACGGCAAUUCCCUCAAUAUAAAGGCCACUUUCGCAGAAGCUUCUCGGCUUAUCCCACUAGUUAGUAUGUAGGCCUCUGGAUCAAAGAAAAGGUACUACGGCCCACUACAUAUACGUAUGUAUAUUUGUAGCUUGCCAAAGUUUAUUAUAUAUUAUAGCAUGAUAAUAAUAAUAAUAAGAAGAACUAAGCUGGAUUACUAUUAGCACCAAUGAUUUGGUAAUAUUAAAUUUUCUAUCGUUGGAUUAAAAGAUGUGCGGUUAUGAUGAUAUAGGCCCCCUAGAGUUAAGUGCGUGGUUAAUUGAAUAGUAUAAUUGAACGAAUGAAAAUAAUAAAAAAAUAAUCUAACGGCAGAAAACUUGAUAGCACCAAAUACUUUGUGUUAUCGAUAGUAUCUCAGCUGGACUCAUAAUAAUAAUAAGUAUAAAUUUUCCAAGCUUCCCACGUUGAACAAAUGAAAGGGACCUUUCACAACAAGCAACAGAAACAAUUGAAUAUGGGGACCGAUAUGGUAACACUUUCAUAGAAAGUUCCUUGGCACUGUUUUUUAUAUGCAUGAUAAUGGAUAAUGCAAUAUAUAUUCCUGAUAUUUUUUAGGAUAUCGAAAUGGAACUAGGAUUGAUUUGCAGAAUUUUAAAUCUCUGUUCGAACUUCGAAGAAGUGAUUCAACCUCGCAACUAGGAUUGAUUCAAGCCUGGUAUUUUUAUCAUCGAAUCUGAUCAAAUGUAUACGUAUUGCGAAUAUUUUUAUCGUCGAAUCUGGUAUUUAUAAAUCUCUGUUCGAACUUCGAAGAAGUGAUUCAACCUUGCGACUAGGAUUGAUUCAAGCCUGGUAUUUUUAUCGCCGAAUCUGAUCAAAUGUAAACGUAUUGUGAAUAUUUUUUAAAAAAAUUAUUGCAUAUUAAUAUCAUAUAUGAUUUUCAUUAUCAUUGCCAUUAGUACACAUCAUCAUAAGCAGCUGCGGGCUACACUCUCUCUCUUUAGUGCUGCAGCCACUUCAGCCACUGUCACUCAAUCUCUCCCUCUCCGAACUACAUAUGCCAAAAUCAAAAUUAGGCCGCCAAAAUUACUUAAUAAUAAUACUUGAGUUCGAAAAUUCUCCCAGAUUAUUCUUAAAAAAAAUUAAUUAGAAUCGAAAAUUUUUGCCCACGAAGGUUUGGCCGAAUUGCCAGUUGGCGGCGACGGCGUUCCAGGAGGUGGAGGUGCGGCGGUCACCCGCAGUGACGCGGAAGGAGAGGGAUUGUCCCACCAGUACUGCAUUGGACUGCCAAUUCUGGCCCCAGUUCCGGCUCAUCGCCAUCCAAUCAGUCCGCGACCCCUUCACGCUCACUCGCACCACGUCCCCCGAACCGGCCACGUUCGUGAUCAGUACCAAAUUGAAGUACCGGAACCCGUUUAUCGUGAACCGGAUCCCGCCCGCCUUCCGGCACGGCACCCUGCACGAACCAAAAUCCAACAGUCCGGACCAGACGGUCCAAUAAUAUUUAUUAGUAAAAUAUUAUUUUUAAAAAAAUUAUUUAAUAAAUUUGAUCCGUUUCUAUUAUUAUUAUUAUUAUUAUUAUUAUUAUUAUUAUUAUUAUUAUUAACUAAAUAAUAAAUUAUAAAUAGAAGCGGGGGUAAAAUUGUCAAAGUGAAAGAGGGAGGUGCGUGGGAACAUGUGCCCUCGUCUUGUCCAUUAGCGGCGCCUCACGCGUUUCUCCGCUCUCCUCGAAAGUUUCGUUGGAAAAAAUAGUCGCAUUUUUUUCGCAAGAGCGUUACGGUACAAUGGGCCAAUGGCACAUCACUGAUAUUCCCCGAGUAACGAACGAAAGGGAAAGUAAGUUUUGUACGUAAAAUAUAAAUUUCAUAUUUUCUAUAAAAAAUUUAAAUUUUUUAAAAAGACUUAUAAAAAUAAAAUAAUAAAAUUCAUAUAUAAGUGAAACAAGGAGGCCCCGAAAAUAAACGUAGAAAUAAAGACGUAAAUCUAAAAAAAAAAAUUAAAGAGCUUUUAAUAAGAAGAUUAUAAUAAUUUAUUUCUUUGACUUGGACAAAUAUUAUAAUAUAUAGCAAAUUUUAUAUUACUAUUAUAUUUUAUUUCCUAACAAUUUUGUAUUUUAAUUUUUUUUAAAAAAAUUAAAUAAAAAUAUUAAUACUAUAUUUAAGUAAUAUGUUGUUAUAUGAUUAAAUUAUCAUAAAUUUUACGUGGCGCGAACGUUACAGAGGAAAAAAAAAAAAAAAAACUAAAUUAAUAAAGAGCUAGUUUACCUGCGGUAGGAGACGGGGACGAUGCCGGCACGGUACUCGGCGAUCCUGAGGAACAUGGGCAUGGCGAGGUCGAAGUGGGGGCGCGGGGGAUUGCACCAGCCGCCGUCGUCGGAGGGGAGGGCGUAGUUGGGGGGGCAGAAGUUGGUGGCGGUGAUGAGGAUGGAGGGGCUGCCGGCGUGGCACCACCGCGGGUCGUCCGCGCAUUUCAGCUCGAAGCACGCCCCGCAGCUCUCCCCCGAGUUGAACAGCGCCGUGCUCAGCGCCGCCGUCUCCACCCCGUAUCCCUCGCUAUACAAAUUCCCAUACCCGCAUGCACCCCCUACGUACCCAUCCCCACACACACGCACACACAUUUAAAAAAAUAAUAAUUUUAUAUAAUUUAACAUGCAUGGUAUUACAAAAAUACGUACCCAUGGUGCCGGAGGCGUCGCUGCCGCCGUAGAAGGUGGCGUGGGCGCUCUGCCAGGGGCCGCCCGCGUAGACUCCCGGCACGCGGGCGUCCGCUCGGUGGGAGAGUACGAGCAGGGAAAUAGUCAUCAGCAGAGUAAGGAAACAGAGCAUAGUCGACAUUGUCGCUUAUGUUUAGGGAGAGAGAGAAAACGGGGGAGGAGAGAGAGUAGUGGAGAUAUGGGGAUGAGUGAGGAGGUGUGUAGGCGAAGCCGUAUUUAUCAGCGAAUGUGUGUAGUGGUGUUAGUGGGAAGAGAGAGAGAGAGAGAGAAGUGGAGUACUGAUUUGCGCCUUUUGCUAAAAGAAUAAACGAGGAAAAAACAAGUCCCGUACGUGUUGUAUACUUCUUUAAUUACAUCUAAAAAUAUUAAAAUUUAAAUAAAAACUUUUCAAUUUUUAAUAAAAAAUUCUAUCCAUUUCUAACAUACACAUAACGUUAACAUAAAUUUUUGAAUAUUAAUCUUGAAAUUGUAUAACCGUCUCUUCGAAAUUGAGUGAGGAUAAAUUUUAUUUUUUUGGUGCAUGUACCCUGCCAAAACUACUUAAAGAUAUUUUUUGUAUAGUUACUAACAGUUAAGAAUUUUUAGAAAUAUGGUUACAGAUCUUAACUUUAUAAAUAAAUGUAUGUGGGUAUUAUUUUUAUUUUUUUUUGAGAGAUAAAUAACACGCUACCCGCUUCGUUUAUUUUAUUUAGAAAUAAAUUUAGCGAAAAAAUGUGAAUCAAUUAGAAUUCGAAUUUGAAAUCUCGGGUACUAACCACCAAAUUCUUUGUCACUUGCUCUAGGGACGGUCGAUAUGUGGGUAUAAUACUAUACAAACAAUUGCAAAGCAUAUAUAGAGUGUGAAAAUUUUUUUUCUUUUUCUUUUGCUGUAACAUGUGGAAGCAGAGAAUAAAAAAAUGCUUUACUUAAGAUUUGGGUGGAAGAAGAUACAGAUAAAUUAUUGCACACUCCUCGCAGCAACAUCUCUCAUUAUAUAUUUUAAAGUUAAUUAUCGUAUAUUUUUCUAUAAAUAUAUCGAAUAAACAUAUCGAACAGUAAAUAUAUUUUUAUAAAAUUUAACUUUUUAUUUUUAUUACUAUAAAAGUUGAAUAAUAUUUAUAUUUUUUUUCUAAUUUAUUACCAUUAAAGUAUUGCUUAUGUUUUAACCACAGAUAAGCAAAAUGACAAUUUUGCCCAUACGAAUAUAUCAUUCCAAAAAUAAAAACUAUUGAAAUUAUAUAAAAAUUUUCUCCCAAAAAUAUUGUUUAUUCAAUAAAAUAUAGGAAGUAAAAAAUUUUAAUUUAAUUUUACUUAUAAUUAAUUAUAUUUUUAUAACGGAUUUUAACAACAAAGGUAUAAUUGAUAACAUUAGAACUUUUAUAGGAAUAAAAAUAAAAAAUUAAACUUUGUAAGAAUAUAUCUAUUAUGCAAUUAACCCUAUAAUUUAAGUCAUCUUAAAUCUAUAGGGGCGGAAACAUUAAUUCCAAGUGUUCGGGGGGCCGUAAUGUAAAACUCGGCGUACGACGAAGUUGUACGAGCGGAGCGCACGCGGACGCUUUAUUUCCGCCGUCCGAUCGAUCAUUUAAUUGCGCCCGUUAAUCGCCCCCGUCAAUCAAUGCGUCCGUACGCGUCCGCAUGCGCCACCGUGGACGUCCCACAACCACUCGAUGCGGAAAAAAGAGCCGGAGGAAUAAAAUUAUAAAAAAUGAAAAUAUAAAAAAAAAAAAGAAAAAGAAAAAAAGAAAAAAUGGUGAGGAGAAUAAGAUCAAAGAAAAAAAUGCGCACUUUAUUUACUUCCCUAGGAGGUUGUGCCAAAACCAACGGCUGUGAUUCGGCGAGAACUUUUCAACUUUGACCCCUUUUUAGCUUUCAACUUAAACCUUAUCCUUUUGGAACUUACUUUCUAUGAUCUUCGCAUAAAUACCCCUUAAAGAUAAGUGUAUUACUACACGGUAUAAUUUUAUUCAAUGAAUUAAAGUUAUAUUUUAAUUUUGUUCAUAUCACUCAAAUUGUUGUAUUUUACUCUUAUAUAUACACUUAUGCACGAUCCUCUUACGAAGCUUCUUCGCACAAAAAAAAAAAUUAUGUUUAUUUAUUAUUAUUUUUUAAAUAAUAUUAUUUAUUUUUUAAAAAAAAUUUAAUUCCUGAUGAUUAUCCAGGAGAGUUCGACUAAUGAACCCAUCACGUUGUUGGUGGGACCCACCAAGGAGUCCGCAUUGGUGGGACCCACAUUAACCGCACGUGGGACCCACCCCUCGAGCCCCCGACCAACCACAUCCUUUUGUCCCCGGUGCCAAUCCUCCGUAUAGUCCUCGUUCGAUCGGUACUUGCUCCCCACUUUUUAUUCUUUUUUUUUUUUUUUCUCGUUCCUUUUAUUUAAUUAAUUAAUUAAUUAAUAUUUAUUUUAAGUACAACAUUUUUUUGCACCCACAUUUAAGCACAGGUCCCUCAUAGAAAAUCUUGGAUUGUGGUGAUCUAAUUAAGGCUACUAACGUAACAUGAAUCUGUUUUGUUGCAAAACAAGAUAUGCUUUUUUUAUUUUUUUUAUCCCACAAAUUAUGAGAACGUUGAUGAUAUAUAUAGUAGAGGAGUGACUUUGUUUGAUUUGCACGAAACAAAUAGUACAUAAUUCUUUUGAAGUUUUUUUUUUUUUUUAAGAAGAGUUGAUAUUAAAGGGUCGUGUUUUUUUUAUGAAGAACAUAAUUUUAGAUAGAAACUAGAGAAUAAAAAAUAUGAUGGAACUUUUGAGUGCUUCUUUUAUCUAUUUUUCCUUUUUUUUUAUGCCCUUUUUCUAACUAAAAGAGUGGAAUUAUUUGUUCUCUCCAUACUCCAUACAUGAUUUUUAAUUCCAAAGUCUAUUUGAGUUGACUUUACAAGCUCAAUAUAUACUUGGUAGCAGCUAAGUUCGUCUUUAAGAACUAUAAAAAUAUAUAAUACUAGAUCACUAUAUAUAUAUAUAUAUAUAUAUAUAUAUAUAUACACCAUUUUAAAGUAACCCUUCAACUUCUAACUUUUUGUAUGUAAAUUUUAUUAAAUGCAUGUAUGCUUCAUUUGGUUUGCCCUUAAUUUCGAAGUACUAAAUAAGAAUAACUUUGGAUGGAUCAUAUAAUAUAUAUUCCAUUCAAGUGCAUUAAAUAGAUGAUUUAUUAUUAAGCAAGUGGCACCGAAUUGGAACAUGGUCCAAUAAUAAGUGGGCGUGAGAUUACAAUAUGGCUCGAACCAUAAUUACAGUUAUAUAACAGCCCACAACAUUUGAAACGUGACAUCAAACACCCCGUGUUUUGCGACUAUUUGUUAUAUAUAUAUAUAUAUAUAUAUAUAUAUAUAUAUAUAUAGAUAGAUAGAUAGAGUUGAGCUCAAAUAUUAUUAAUAGUAUUUAAACUUUUUUACUAUCAAUUUUUAGCCAUUAGAUCUACACUUUAGUCAAUUCUAUCUUUUAGAUCAUACUAUUCAACUAACAAUCCUCUCAAUUUUAAAAGAACCACCAUUAAAUCCGAGCUAGGAGACCAUUAUUAUCCUAAUCCUAUAAUUUUUUAUUUAAGGGUUAAAAACUCGAUAACGAAAAAGUUCAAAUACUAUUAAUAAUAUUUCAGUCCAAUUUUGUAUAUAAUAUAUAUAAUUCACAAGUUAGUAGCCACCAAGUUCCCAUAUCACUACAACAGAAUUAGAUUAUAGGGACAUAUGUUUGGGACACUUUUGUGUAAGUGUCCCAUUUAUGCCAAAAUUUUUUUUAAAAAAAAUACUAAUGCCUAAAUAUAAAGUCCAAUCCAACCAAAAAUAAAAGGUUACUCUACUCAAUCCACCCCACCCAGCCCAUUCGACCCGAUUACAAACAGAAAAGAAAAAGAAAAAAAAAAAUCGAUUACCAUUUCCCCUUCUCCCCUCAGUCAAUCGACUGAAAUUCUAGACGAAGAUCCCUUCCUCUCAUCCUCCUCCGCCACCGCAGCCAACGAAGUAGAGUUCCAGCUGUUGCUAAAUACUUAAAUAAGUGUUGGUAAAUUACCAGCACUCUUUUUAGGUUAUAGCGACACUCUUUAACUGUCACUAUAUACCUAGCGACCCCACAUAUAGCAACAUUUUUUAAAAGUGUCGGUAAUUUAGCCAGCAGCACUUUUUUUGACCUAUACCGAUAUUUAAAAGUGUCGCUAUAGACUAUUUUUGUUGUAGGGGCAUAUAAUAGUAGAGAUAAUAUCUAAUAUACUUUUCAAAAUUUCGAAAAUAUUUUUUUUAUUUCUAAAUAAGUAAAAUAUUAUUAUUGGUUUUAAAAUAUUUCUUCAAGUAUAUAUAUUUUUUCUCUAGAUUAUGUAAAUGGGAUUAGAUUUUAGAAAAAAAAAUUAAAUAUUAAGAGAAAAUUUUAAUAAUUUUCAAUAGUAGUAAUGAGCAUGUAAGCAAAAUCAUCUAUUUAAGAUAAUCGUGCUUUUCACUUCUAAGGUUCUAUUCUACGUGCCAUAAUUUUUUCAAGUGAUUUUUUUUUAAAAAAAGAGAAUUUAAGGGAUCUCCUAAUUAAACACAACAAUAGUAAUAACUUUUCUGUGUGCAAGGUCCAAGCUAUAUAUUCAUCAUUAUUAAAAUGUCGUUCUUUAUUAGUUUAAACUUCUAAAAAUAUACUAUUUUACAUUAUAAAAAAAUCUAAUAAUACAUUGUAAUUUAGAAAAAUGCCUACUUGUACAUCUCUAUAGUUUAGUGUAAAUCUUGCACGAGUGCAUCUCAAGUAUUUUAGAAUUCCAAUUUUUUUAAAUUUCUAAUUAAAAAAAUUAAUAUGACAAGUAGAGAAUAAGUUCGAAUUCUAGUUUAUGCCAUGUAAGAGUAAUAACGGACCGUCCCUAGAGUAAGUGGCAAAGGGCCUGGUGGUUGGUACUCGAGGUUUCAAGUUCGAAUCCUAGUUAAUUCACAUUUCCAGCUAAAUUUGCUUCUAAAUGAAAUAAAUGAAGUGGGUAGCAUGCUACCUAUUUCUAAAAAAAAAAAAAAGUAAUAAGGUACAGUUUAGCUCAUUGCUUAAUGGUUAUUAACCGAGAUGCCCGCUAAGAUGUCGACGAUUUGAUCCUUUGCUGGUGCUUUUAUAAAACAGAACCGAUCCCUCUCUUAGGGGAAAAAAUGCAUACGCAAUAGGAAUUGAGCGCUAAUGCUUUUAAAAGUAUCAAGUCAGUAUUACUUAUAGGUUUCGGUCCUUAGACUAAGAGAUGCGUGGCCAAGAUGAUAGUAAUUUUCUAAAAUUGAGUGGAUGGUUGAUUGAAUAGUAUAAUCUAAUAAUUAACAGAUAAAAAUGAUCAAAGGAGUAAAUCUAACAGUGUAAAUCUUACAAGCACCGAGUAUUUUGUACUUAAAAGUAUCGGAGCUGAACUGUAUGUUGGUGUUCUUAAGAGAGUAUUUUGAAUUCAGGGGCCCAUGGAGAAACUAAAAAAAAUGAAAAGGAAAAGAAAAGAAAAGAAAAAAGGUAAUAGCCAAAAAGUGGGUACAAACUAACACUUAUAGAUACACUUUUAGAUUGAGCAAUAACAUUUGGCUAUUGAUUUAACUGGUUAGUCAACAUUAAAGACCAAAUAAGGGGUUCUAAAUUGACCACGAAUUUGGCUUUGCUCUUAAUAAGGGAUGGGUACAAUUUAAUUCAUAGGUGUAGUACCAUGCUUUAUAAUGUAUAUUGUACAAAGCAACUUUGUUGGGAGAAAAGUCUUAUGCUCAUUACUUAUACCACAAAAGCAAUAGUAAGAGAGUAGUCAAAAAGAUAUAAUAACAUGAGUCUAGCUUGGUAAUUUUUAGAAGCACAUACAAUAUAUGCUUCAAACCUUUUUAGCACUUAGAUUAAAUAUUAUUCUACCCGUUCCCACUAAAUCAUAAAUAUAUAAUGUUAUAACUUAUUAGCAACCAGUCCGAAUAGAUACUAAUAACAUAUCAAUUACAAGUUGAUCGUCCCUAGUGCAAAUUUAAAAAGGUUUGAUGGUUAUAUAGUAUCGAUUAUUUCAAAUUCGAAGCCUAACUUCGUUUCUAAAAAAAGAACUAUGCUACCAUUAUGUCUAAAAAAAAAAAAUCAUAUCAUUUACAUAUUGGAGACAAAUAUAACUGUUUUCACCAAUGUUCUUUCCUUGUAAUUGUUAAGAUAUCAUUGAUAUUUGGAUGAUGAUUUUUUUUUUUUUUGGGUGUGGGUUUUAUCAAGAAAUAGAAUAAAAAUGAAAUGAGUCAGUAACUCUUGCAAAGAGAUUUUAGAAUGUCACUAGCUAGCUAGGUAACUCUUUUUAUUAGACCAUUCUUUGUGAACUUCACGGACUAAAACAUUUUAUUUUCCGCGCAAUCAAAAUAGGAAAAUGCUUUGCUUAAAAAUAAAUUGCAUUAUACUUUCGAAAUGAAAAAAUACUUGGAUUUUAACUUCGUAAUUAUAAACAAAGCACAGUGAUAUGCAUUCUUGAGUUAUUAAUCUCAAAUAAUAACGGGUAACGGAGCAUGGUUAAGGGGGUCCAAAAUGUGAGAACAAACACAUCUUAAUGGUAAUCAAUAAGGAUAGAAAUAAACAGGCAUUUUGUGUGAAACGCAAUUAUAAUUAACCAAACAUGGUAGGUUAAUGGGCUAAGCCCAAUAAUCCAACAGCAAAAGCCCACUAAAGUGUAAGGUUUUUUCAAUAUAGUUUCGAAUCGAACAUACUUUUUCAAAAUUUUGAGGUGUCGAAUGCCCAAAACCUUAGUUCAUGAGACAAUUUACCCAUUAAUAAGGCAAAUAAAACUUUAUUAUACUAGCUUAUACAUUAGAAUAUAUUCCUUACACAUCACCGAAGAACCGGUUGUGGAUCACGAGGUAAUUAACAAGCCAUUUAGAUUUUAAAGCUGAACCUCUUAACCCAGCAGGAUUUAGAAUAGUCCACACCAAACCUUUUAAUCCGACUAUAAUACUUUGAACAGAGUUUUAAGAGAUUAAGAGAGUUAAGCAUAUUAGAACUAGAGUGGUUCCAUAAUGAAUGACCUCUGUGGGAAGCGAGACGUUAUAGUUGAUAUCAUAAAUAAUUACGAGUCGAAAGUAUGAGAUGGGAUCUCGACUGAAUUGGAGUCAUACAGCGGGCAUAGCACAAUUCCUCAGCCGAUGACUGUUGCGAGUGGGAAUGACCCUCCAGAAAGAAAGCGGGGACGUUACAAUACUAGAUCUAUUUGCAGAUACCUAGGGGUGUAAUGUGCCACAUUUCCCGUGCCGAAACGGGCCGGAGGCCAGCCCGGCACGGCCCGGCCCCAAAGUCGGGCCGUGCCGUGCCGGGCCAAAAUUUUUGGACCCUGGCCCAGCACGGCCCCCCGGCCCGGUCUGUACGGGCCGUGCCGGGCCGGGCCGGGCUUCGGGCCAGCCGUUUUUUAUUUUAUUAAUUUUAUUUAAAAAUAUUUAAAAUUUUUUUAAAAAUAAAAAUAAAGAUAUUAUUUUUAAAAAAAAUUAAUAUAUAAGUAAAAAAAUUUAAAUUUUAAAAUAUAUUUAUAAAAAUAUUAAAAUUUUAAAUUAUUUUAAAAUUUUAAAUUUUUUGGACCAAAAUGUCCUUCCCAACAGUCAAAUUUUUGACUGUUGGGAAGGGCAUUUAGGUCCGGCCCAUCUCCCAAAAGUGUCUGCUUUCACAGAACCCAACUCACUUGGGAGAGCCCCAAAGUCAAAACCCAACUUCCAAUGCACAUUGGGAGUUGGGUUGAUGCAGCUUGGGAGUUGGGUUGGGUGCAACCCAACUGACCAACUCCCUGCCCGGGCCCGGGUCGGGAGGCACGGGCCACACGGGCCGGGCCGGGCCGUGCCGUGCCGGGUCUGGACAUCCCUCAGCCCGGCACGGCCCAAGCCUGUGUCGUGCCGGGCCGUGCCGGGCCACCGGGCCGCGGUAGCAAGGCCCAGCACGACCCGGUUAAGCUGGCCGGGCCGGCCCGGCACGAGUGCUACAGUGCUCGUUCCGUGCCUGGCCCGGCCCACUCCCGUGCCGGGCCGGACGGCCCGCGGGCCGCCCGGCCCGUUUGACACCCCUACAGAUACCUAGCCAACCAACUUGACUUAAAAUAACAAUAAUAAUAAAAGUAAAACAAUUACGUGUCAUGGAGUGAUUAAAUUCUGAUCAACUAAAAAUCACCAUCAUAUGGUGAUAAUCUAUUGGAUAAAUUCAAAUUCUCCCACUUUCAAAGGAAUUGUACACCCCACUUGUGAAGCCAAUGUGUGGGCCAUGGUCCUAAAUUUCCCGACACACUUUCUCUUUUUCCUGUAUAUAUAUAUAUAUAUAUAUAUAUAUAUAGUAGGGCUAGAAUAUUUUUACAAGUAUCACCCAAGUGAUACUUGUGUGUUUUUAACCAUUGGAUCUACUUUUUUAUUACUAAUAGCUUUUAGAUCAAACACUAUUCUACCUACCACCACCUACCACCAUCAUCUCAACCUCACAUCUCUCCAUCCAAGGGCUAAAAACACACAAGUAUCACUUGGGUGAUACUUUUACAAGUAUUCUAGCUCUACUCUAUAUAUAUAUAUAUAUAUAUAUAUAUAUAUAUAUAUAUAUAUAUAUAUAUAAUUGAGCUUCUAUACUUUUAAAAGUACAAAGUUAUUGGUGUUUGUAGAUUUUUGACCAUUGGAUUAAGAGAUGUGCGGUUAGAUGAUAUGGGCCUCCUAGGGUUGAGUGGGUGGUUGGUUUAAUAGUAUAAUUUAAUGGUUGAAAAUGAUCAAAGACGUAAAUCUAACGGUAAAAAACUUACAAGCACCAAGUGCUUGGUGCUUUUACAAAUACCAUAGCAGAACUA